CUUCUCACCGGCUGAAGGGAAAAGCCACUGUGCAGAAAAGCUCAAAUCAUCCAAGAAUUCCAACAAUGCUUUCCCUGCAUGAGCUACUGCCACCGCUGAU